GACGAACGCUGGCGGCGUGCUUAACACAUGCAAGUCGAACGGAAAGGCCCUGCUUUUGUGGGGUGCUCGAGUGGCGAACGGGUGAGUAACACGUGAGUAACCUGCCCUUGACUUUGGGAUAACUUCAGGAAACUGGGGCUAAUACCGGAUAGGAGCUCCUGCUGCAUGGUGGGGGUUGGAAAGUUUCGGCGGUUGGGGAUGGACUCGCGGCUUAUCAGCUUGUUGGUGGGGUAGUGGCUUACCAAGGCUUUGACGGGUAGCCGGCCUGAGAGGGUGACCGGCCACAUUGGGACUGAGAUACGGCCCAGACUCCUACGGGAGGCAGCAGUGGGGAAUAUUGCACAAUGGGCGGAAGCCUGAUGCAGCAACGCCGCGUGCGGGAUGACGGCCUUCGGGUUGUAAACCGCUUUCGCCUGUGACGAAGCGUGAGUGACGGUAAUGGGUAAAGAAGCACCGGCUAACUACGUGCCAGCAGCCGCGGUGAUACGUAGGGUGCGAGCGUUGUCCGGAUUUAUUGGGCGUAAAGGGCUCGUAGGUGGUUGAUCGCGUCGGAAGUGUAAUCUUGGGGCUUAACCCUGAGCGUGCUUUCGAUACGGGUUGACUUGAGGAAGGUAGGGGAGAAUGGAAUUCCAGGUGUAGCGGUGAAAUGCGUAGAGAUCUGGAGGAAUACCGAUGGCGAAGGCAGCCAUCUGGCCUAAUACUGACGCUGAGGUACGAAAGCAUGGGGAGCAAACAGGAUUAGAUACCCUGGUAGUCCAUGCCGUAAACGAUGUCUACUAGCCGUUGGGGCCUUUGGGGCUUUAGUGGCGCAGCUAACGCGAUAAGUAGACCGCCUGGGGAGUACGGUCGCAAGACUAAAACUCAAAUGAAUUGACGGGGGCCCGCACAAGCGGUGGAGCAUGUGGUUUAAUUCGAUGCAACGCGAAGAACCUUACCUGGCCUUGACAUACUAGAAACUUUCCAGAGAUGGAUUGGUGCCUUCGGGAAUCUAGAUACAGGUGCUGCAUGGCUGUCGUCAGCUCGUGUCGUGAGAUGUUGGGUUAAGUCCCGCAACGAGCGCAACCCUUUUCCUUACUUGCCAGCAUUUCGGAUGGGAACUUUAAGGAUACUGCCAGUGACAAACUGGAGGAAGGCGGGGACGACGUCAAGUCAUCAUGGCCCUUACGGCCAGGGCUACACACGUGCUACAAUGGUCGGUACAAAGGGUUGCUACACAGUGAUGUGAUGCUAAUCUCAAAAAGCCGAUCGUAGUCCGGAUUGGAGUCUGCAACUCGAUUCCAUGAAGUCGGAAUCGCUAGUAAUCGCGGAUCAGAAUGCCGCGGUGAAUGCGUUCCCGGGUCU
rnacentral:rRNA from 1 species